rnacentral:rRNA from 1 species
CCAAUCCUACGGGACGCAGCAGUGAGGAAUAUUGGUCAAUGGGCGCGAGCCUGAACCAGCCAAGUCGCGUGAGGGAUGACGGCCCUACGGGUUGUAAACCUCUUUUGCCGGGGAGCAACGGGCGCCACGUGUGGCGCCACUGAGAGUACCCGGAGAAAAAGCAUCGGCUACCUCCGUGCCAGCAGCCGCGGUAAUACGGAGGAUGCGAGCGUUAUCCGGAUUUAUUGGGUUUAAAGGGUGCGUAGGCGGAUCGUUAAGCCAGUGGUCAAAUUGAGGGGCUCAACCCCUUCCCGCCAUU